rnacentral:rRNA from 1 species
GUAUGGUGCAAGCGUUAUCCGGAUUUACUGGGUGUAAAGGGAGCGUAGACGGAGUGGCAAGUCUGAUGUGAAAACCCGGGGCUCAACCCCGGGACUGCAUUGGAAACUGUCAAUCUAGAGUACCGGAGAGGUAAGCGGAAUUCCUAGUGUAGCGGUGAAAUGCGUAGAUAUUAGGAGGAACACCAGUGGCGAAGGCGGCUUACUGGACGGUAACUGACGUUGAGGCUCGAAAGCGUGGGGAGCAAACAGGAUUAGAUACCCUGGUAGUCCACGCCGUAAACGAUGACUGCUAGGUGUCGGGUGGCAAAGCCAUUCGGUGCCGCAGCUAACGCAAUAAGCAGUCCACCUGGGGAGU